rnacentral:rRNA from 1 species
GAUGAACGCUAGCGGCAGGCCUAAUACAUGCAAGACGAACGGUAAGUUGAGUAGCAAUACUUAGCCAAGAGUGUCGUACGGGUGCGUAACACGUAUGCAACCUACCCUAUACAGGAGGAUAGCCUAGGGAAACCUGGAUUAACCCUUCAUAGUAUUAUUGGAUGGCAUCAUUUGAUAAUUAAAACUGAGGUGGUAUAGGAUGGGCAUGCGUCUGAUUAGUUAGUUGGCGGGGUAAUGGCCCACCAAGACGAUGAUCAGUAGGGGUUCUGAGAGGAAGAUCCCCCCACACUGGCACUGAGAUACGGGCCAGACUCCUACGGGAGGCAGCAGUAGGGAAUAUUGGUCAAUGGAUGCAAGUCUGAACCAGCCAUGCCGCGUGCAGGAAGAAGGCCCUUCUGGGGUUGUAAACUGCUUUUGCCAGGGGAUAAAAUUCCAUGCGUGGAAAACUGAAGGUACCUGGUGAAUAAGCCACGGCUAACUACGUGCCAGCAGCCG